rnacentral:lncRNA from 1 species
GCACAGCAUCAUAAAAUUAAGUUGUUGCAUCUUAACGUACUUCUCGAGGUAUGGUCACGAGCAGGGCCGGAGCAAGCUGAACUGCCGCUCUAGGCAGAGGACGAUCACGCCGCCCUCAACCCCAAUGUGAAAACGAAAGUGACCGGUUAUGAAAAUGAAGUGAGGUGUCGCGGACCUUUAUUCUGCCGCCCUAUGCGCGGAUAUAACUGAGGACGCGCGGGUUCUGAGGGAGGGAGGUGUCGCCGACGUUGCUCUCUCUAUUCUGCCGCCCUAUGCAAGGAAAUAACUGAGGACGCGCGGGUGUCGCGGACCUCUAUUCUGCCACCCUAUGCGCGGAUAUAACUGAGGACGCGCGGGUGCUGAGGGAGAGAGGGAGGUGUUGCUGACGCUGCCCUCUCUAUUCUGUCGCCAAUGCGCGAAUAUAUCUGAGGACGCGGGUGGUGAGGGAGGUGUCAUGGACAUAACUGAGGACGCAGGUGGUAGGGGGGUGUUGCGGACGUCGCCCUCUCUAUACUGCCGCCCCAGGCGGCCGCCUAGGUCGCCUCUAUGAAUGCGCCGGCCCUGGUCACGAGGAAUCCUGCUUCAGAAAUAAUUCCUCUCUCUCAGUAACGCACAAAACUUGUUGUCGAAGAAGAAGAAAUCAACAUUCUCUCAUUCAUAUGGAUUUACUUUCAUCGGCUAGAUAUUGGCCUAACAGCUCUGUGAAUGUCGGUGCCGUCACUUAUUGAUCCGCGAUUUGUAAAUGUAGCUUGUGUGGACGCCACUGCGCUACUUGACUAAUAAAAUAGCUUCGCUACUGAAAAGCUAUUUGAUUUAGAAAGUAGUGACGCUACCGUCACGCUACUGAGAAAUGUAUUUAAGCUAGUAGCAUCACUACUUGGAGCGACGCUACUGCCCAACACUGCCUGGCAAUAACUUUUUUUCCAUGGGACUCUGGCAUGAAUAGGCAGAGUGAUCUGUGUCUUUACUAUAGCUUCAACAAACUUAGUUGGUGAAAAGACGCACAACCAAAAGGAACCCACCAACAGUAUCUGAGGUUUUCACUAAAAUUACUAAGUACAAGUGUGAAAGCGAGAGAUUGAAGCAGUCUACUGAUGCUGUGACACAUUACCUGAAAGACUCAAAAGACUGAAGAGUUGUUAGAUGGAGACAAGAUUAAUAAAUAUCACCUUUAACAAUUAUAGUGAGACGUGAUUCAGCUGUACAUCCUUGAUAAACUGUCCAACGUGCACUGCUUUCUGGGCUGACUGCUGGAGCUCAGAUGCUGCAGUGCAUGACAGAGUGUGUGUGCUCACGUGAUGUGCGUUUUCAGUGGUAUAGUGUGGAAAGAGGGCUUUAUAGAAAUGGUAGAUGAAAUGCCAGUGUGUGGAUGUGGAUUGUUUUUUGUUCUCAAAUGCCAUUUUAAAACUAAGACGUAUUGUAAAUGGGGCUUGAGUGUGUAUUUUUCAGGAGCAGGUUUCUGCUGCGACGAAGGAGGGGCGGAGGAUCGCGUCUAUCUACCCAACCUUAAAACAUACAGUCUCAAGGCUGAUUUAUACUUCUGCGUCAAGCGCAUGCGUAUGCUAUGACGCAGCAUACAAGUUGACGCAUAGCCCUACGGCGUAGCCGUAGCUGAUGUGCACCUCUCAAAAAAUUUAACUACACGUCGAAACGACACGUAGCGCAAGCUCUGUGAAUGGUCGGCUUGGUAGCGCUGACAAAUCUGGGCGGGACCGAGAGCCGCGCUAGCCCAAUGGAGCGAUUGUUUACAAGUGUGGAGUCCCGUAAAGGAGCUUCGGAUGGAAAGUUUUGUUUUGUGUUUACCUCAUAGUUAAAGUUAUUGCACGUCCGCUGGUUCCUGCCUCAAAAUGAGCGAGUUUGAGCCACUUGUACAUUCAGGAAGUGUUCGGAAAAGUCAAAGCACCAGCGAAAAAACUCGACAGAAGUAUAAAUAAACAGUGCGCAGAAGUAUAAAUGCACAGCUACGCAGGUUGCAUGCGCCGUGGGUUACGCCGGUGACUUGACGCAGAAGUAUAAACCAGGCUUCAUCCAGCAGUUAAAGUAUAUUUACAUUAUAGUUAGUAUAUUAGUUUUGCAGUAGUUAAUUAUGACAAGACCAAUAAACUCUUUAGUUAAAAUAAGUUAAACACAACAAAUAUAUUGUUCAACUUUCCCAGUUUAUUGAGCACAUUCCUCUUCUUAAAUACUUAAUCAUGCAUCAUAAUAUGCGUCAUUAAUAACAAAUUCAAUAAAAUCCACAGACUGAAUCCAUAAUUAAGUAACACAAAUGUGUUGUUAAAAGCUUUUAUUAACUUAUUCAAUUCAUACGAUUGUUCGAAUGGCUUCUCUGAUCUCCUGAAGCAGAUCCUCGGGUUUGAAGCUGAGAGUUGCAGGGUCCAGUCUCUUAAAGUCUUCGUUGUUAAGCAUGAUCUCAAAUAUAUGCAGAACUCUCUGGAGGUCGAAGGCGGCGUGAUGAGGGCCUAAUGCGCACAGGCUUUCCGCAAGGAGAUCUUGGCAGCUGUCUGCAUUUCUGGGACUUGAGUUCAAAAAGGAUAUCCGAUUAUUCGCGAUAGUCUUGAGGAAAGAGGCGAACUCGGCAUAAUCGAUUCCUGUGCAUGAUUUCAUGAUCACCUGAAACAAAUAAGAAAACAUGCCAAAAACCCUACUUGAUUAUUACUUUGUUUAUUACUUAACAUUAAAGACACAUCAUGACAUGUAUUAGUUUAUCCAUGCCAUAUAUUUGAACCCUCUGGUGUUCCUUAGUUAUGAAUUACACUUCGCGGUCAAGAAGGGACAAACACCCGUAAAGUCCCCUGUUUUUUUGUUUGUAAAUUCAAUCAAAUUAAUUUUUGUUUUAAAAUAUUUUUUCUAUAUAAUUUUGAAUUUUGAGAGGGUUUUGUGGUAAUAAUGAAUAUUUAUGCAGUAACUAACAUCCAUUUUUCCCCAUUGAAAACAAUGGAAUUUUAUUUUUUUUUAUUUUUUUUUUUUAUUGCAAUAUUUCCAGGUAAAAUAAAGACUCUGCCAUUCAAACACGAUUACUUUUUGGGGAGUAACUCAAUAUUGUAAUGUGUUAUUUUCAAAAGUAACUUUCCCCAACACUGGUUACCUGACAGUGCUGAUGCCAGGUGUCCAUAGUAUCGCGCCAUUCCUCGAUUUCCCUCUGGACGGAAGAAAGCUCAUCUUGCAGAAACUGCCACAUGAUGUCCAAAUUACAGCCGUUCAGCCAGUUAUGAUUGAUUGAAAUGGUGUCCUCCUAUUGAUGAGAGAGGCGAUAUGGAAACUAGGUUAGCAGACUGGUCUAAGAUAUAGGAAUAGUCAUAAAAUUGAUGCCGAAAAAAAUCAAAGCAAGAUAUAAUUUGAUAUUUUUUUUGUUCGAUUGAUGUGAAGUCAAGUUAAACUGUGGGUCCC